CCUGGAGAGCAGUGAGGGCCUGUUUAUCUGCUGGAUAUGGAUCGAGCUGUGCGAUCAGAGAUAUUGGGACAGUCAGCUAGAGGACACAUGAUGCUGUUGUAAGGAGCUUGGAGGAGGUCCGAUACAUAUCCGAUUUUAGACGAAAUCUUAUCUUACUAAGCAGACUGGAUUCGAGAGACUAUAAGAUGGUAGAUGGUGGAGAAAUCCUGAAGGUGUUGCAUGGCGAUAGGGUUAUUCUGAAGGGAAAGAAGAAGACGAAAGGAUAUUACUACCUGAUGGAAAGUCCAAUGCGAGGUGGAGCUUCAGGAGCCAGGAGGAGUCCAGAGCGAGGUGGAGCUCUAAAUAGAGGUGGAUCGGGCACG
rnacentral:lncRNA from 1 species